GAUGAACGCUGGCGGCGUGCUUAACACAUGCAAGUCGAACGAGAAGUGAAGACGGAACCCUUCGGGCGGAAGGCUUUAUUUCGAGUGGCGGACGGGUGAGUAACGCGUGGGUAACCUGCCUCAUACAGGGGGAUAACAGUUGGAAACGACUGUUAAUACCGCAUAAGACCACAGCACCGCAUGGUGCGGGGGUAAAAACUCCGGUGGUAUGAGAUGGACCCGCGUUCGAUUAGCCAGUUGGCGGGGUAACGGCCCACCAAAGCGACGAUCGAUAGCCGAGCUGAGAGGAUGACCGGACACAUUGGGACUGGGACACGGCCCGAACUCCUACGGGAGGCAGCAGUGGGGAAUAUUGCACAAUGGGGGAAACCCUGAUGCAGCGACGCCGCGUGAGUGAAGAAGUAUUUCGGUAUGUAAAGCUCUAUCAGCAGGGAAGAAAAUGACGGUACCUGAGCAAGAAGCCCCGGCUAACUACGUG
rnacentral:rRNA from 1 species